AUCUCAUUUGCAAUCAGCUCUGGAAAUUCCUCAUUCUUGGGUGGAUGCUCUCAACUAUCACAAUCUUAUCCAACUAGGUGGGCACGUGCCGCCGCCUCA